GACUCCACGAAGCUGGAUUCGCUAGUAAUCGCGCAUCAGCCACGGCGCGGUGAAUACGUUCCCGGGCCUUGUACACACCGCCCGUCAAGCCAUGGGAGCCGGGGUACCUGAAGUGCGUAACCGCGAGGAUCGCCCUAGGGUAAAACUGGUGACUGGGGCUAAGUCGUAACAAGGUACC
rnacentral:rRNA from 1 species